rnacentral:rRNA from 2 species
UUCGCAAUGCCCGAAAGGGUGACGAUGCGACGCCGCGUGAGCGAAGAAGGCCCUAGGGUUGUAAAGCUCUGUCAGGGGUUAAGAAAUGUAGAUAGGUUAAUACCCUGUUUAUUUGACAAAAGCCCCAAAGGAAGCCACGGCUAACUCUGUGCCAGCAGCCGCGGUAAUACAGAGGUGGCAAGCGUUGUUCGGUAUUAUUGGGCGUAAAGAGCACGUAGGUGGUUUUGUAAGUCAGAUGUGAAAGCCUUCUGUUCAAAGGAAGAACGGCAUCUGAAACUGCAAAUCUUGAGUGUAGGAGGGGAGAGUGGAACUUCUGGUGGAGCGGUGAAAUGCGUAGAUGUCAGAAGGAACGUCGGCGGCGAAAGCGACUCUCAGGCCUAUUACUGACACUGAGUGUGCGAAAGUUAGGGGAGCAAACGGGAUUAGAUACCCCGGUAGUCCUAACCGUAAACGAUGGGCACUAAGUAGAGGGGUUUU